AAUUCCAAAAAAUGAGCGCCUCUCAACUUAAUAAAUUAUUAACACACAAAAAAAAAGGAGAAGAAAAAGCUAGAACCCUAGGUUUUGAAGUCAUUGUUCCUCUCUAUCAAACACUUCUUGCUCAUCUGAAUUCCGGCUACUCGAUCUUGCUUCUGAAGAUGUCUAAUUGAGUUUUCAGUCUCUCUGUCCGGAACCUCACUGGCUAAUUUGACGCAUUCACUCAUCAGUUAUUGAGGCAUUUGCACCAGAACGUGUGAUCUGCGACUUCUGACUCACAACCAGGAGGACAAGGGAACUUCUGAUCUCAAGACCACCAAUGCCAGACUCAAGGACACAGUGACACAGGUUGUAAAAUUAAAACAUAUUGUUCAACUGUAAUCUUUCUAUCCUUGUUGGCUUGUAUUUUCCCCUGCUAGUAACCCAGCAAGUGUUUUUAUUUCUGACUUAGGUCAAGUCGAAACUUGUGCAACGAUAUCGUUCUCUUGUGUACCUCUUGGAUUGACGCACAUUUGUACAAGCAUCUCAAAUUCGAUCUUGUCGAGGAAUCAUUGGAUACAAUUGAUAAUGCAGCUGUAAAGACAGUGAAUGGAACUUCUAUUUAAGGAAUGUUGCUUGGUCAACACAAUCUACAUUUUGGUUUCACUUGAUUCCCAUUGUAUAUUUUUACAUGUCAGUUUUGGGUUUUUUUUUGGAGAAAAUAUGUUGUAAGUUGGAAUUGGAAAUUGCCAAGUAUAUAUAUUGACAUAUAUGAUUUCUAUCA